UGUAUGGGUCAGUGAGCGAUGGCAGGGGCGAGGGAUCAGCCUUUCUCAGGGUCUGUCCUGGGUGGGCGUCCAACUGCCCUGCCUGGCGCUGCUGAGUCUGCCCCUCAUUUGUAGGUGAAAGUGCAGCUCAGAGAGUUGAGGCACCCUGUCCAGAGUCACACAGCCCGGAGGUGGUAGCCUGGCGCAGGCUUGGCGGCCCGUCCUCGCCAGCCCCCCGUCUGCUGGUGCACGUAAAGGCAGGUCUGAAAGAGGCUGGUAAGGGCAUCAGUGGCGCAGGGCACCACCACAUGUGGGCAGACCCCUGCCUGGUUUGUGGGGCUUUGACCUGUUUGAGGGGACUGCUGGAGGAGGUGUGGAGAGAGCCGUGUUUCUCCAUUAGGAAUGGGGGUGCAGACCGGCCCUCCCCUCAGUGCCAUCUUCAGUACAGGGCACGGGGGGGCAAACUUUUCUCUUAGAGGGCCAUAUGGCACACAGUGCGCUCUGUGUCUACACAAACGGGGUGGGCCAGAUUGGCAGGAGGGCCUUGGCUCGCUGACGCUUGUUCCAGGGACAGCACUGAGGAAGGCUGGGUGGUCCUGCUGGCAGUCUGGCUUCCUGGGAAGAGUGAGGUCCUGUAACCAGACAAGACCCUCUCCCGCCUGUGCCCAAUCUGGGCGCUUCUCCUUGGCUUUCCAGGGCUGGA
rnacentral:lncRNA from 1 species